rnacentral:rRNA from 1 species
UACGGGGGGGGCAAGCGUUGUUCGGAAUUACUGGGCGUAAAGGGCGCGUAGGCUGUUUGCUAAGUUGGAUGUGAAAACUCUGGGCUUAACCCAGAGCCUGCAUCCAAAACUGGCAGGCUGGAGUUUUGGAGGGGGAAGCGGAAUUCCUGGUGUAGCAGUGAAAUGCGUAGAUAUCAGGAGGAACACCGGUGGCGAAGGCGGCUUCCUGGCCUGUUCUUGACGCUGAGGCGCGAAAGCUGGGGGAGCAAACGGG